AUACCGCAUAAUGUCGCAAGACCAAAGUGGGGGACCUUCGGGCCUCAUGCCAUCAGAUGUGCCCAGAUGGGAUUAGCUAGUAGGUGGGGUAAUGGCUCACCUAGGCGACGAUCCCUAGCUGGUCUGAGAGGAUGACCAGCCACACUGGAACUGAGACACGGUCCAGACUCCUACGGGAGGCAGCAGUGGGGAAUAUUGCACAAUGGGCGCAAGCCUGAUGCAGCCAUGCCGCGUGUGUGAAGAAGGCCUUCGGGUUGUAAAGCACUUUCAGCGGGGAGGAAGGCGUUGAGGUUAAUAACCUUGUCGAUUGACGUUACCCGCAGAAGAAGCACCGGCUAACUCCGUGCCAGCAGCCGCGGUAAUACGGAGGGUGCAAGCGUUAAUCGGAAUUACUGGGCGUAAAGCGCACGCAGGCGGUCUGUCAAGUCGGAUGUGAAAUCCCCGGGCUCAACCUGGGAACUGCAUUCGAAACUGGCAGGCUAGAGUCUUGUAGAGGGGGGUAGAAUUCCAGGUGUAGCGGUGAAAUGCGUAGAGAUCUGGAGGAAUACCGGUGGCGAAGGCGGCCCCCUGGACAAAGACUGACGCUCAGGUGCGAAAGCGUGGGGAGCAAACAGGAUUAGAUACCCUGGUAGUCCACGCCGUAAACGAUGUCGAUUUGGAGGUUGUGCCCUUGAGGUGUGGCUUCCGGAGCUAACGCGUUAAAUCGACCGCCUGGGGAGUACGGCCGCAAGGUUAAAACUCAAAUGAAUUGACGGGGGCCCGCACAAGCGGUGGAGCAUGUGGUUUAAUUCGAUGCAACGCGAAGAACCUUACCUGGUCUUGACAUCCACAGAACUUUCCAGAGAUGGAUUGGUGCCUUCGGGAACUGUGAGACAGGUGCUGCAUGGCUGUCGUCAGCUCGUGUUGUGAAAUGUUGGGUUAAGUCCCGCAACGAGCGCAACCCUUAUCCUUUGUUGCCAGCGGUUCGGCCGGGAACUCAAAGGAGACUGCCAGUGAUAAACUGGAGGAAGGUGGGGAUGACGUCAAGUCAUCAUGGCCCUUACGACCAGGGCUACACACGUGCUACAAUGGCAUAUACAAAGAGAAGCGACCUCGCGAGAGCAAGCGGACCUCAUAAAGUAUGUCGUAGUCCGGAUUGGAGUCUGCAACUCGACUCCAUGAAGUCGGAAUCGCUAGUAAUCGUAGAUCAGAAUGCUACGGUGAAUACGUUCCCGGGCCUUGUACACACCGCCCGUCACACCAUGGGAGUGGGUUGCAAAAGAAGUAGGUAGCUUAACCUUCGGGAGGGCGCUUACCACUUUGUGAUUCAUGACUGGGGUGAAGUCGUAACAAGGUAACCGUAGGGGAACCUGCGGUUGGAUCACCU
rnacentral:rRNA from 1 species